rnacentral:rRNA from 1 species
GAUGAACGCUGGCGGCGUGCCUAAUACAUGCAAGUCGAGCGAAUGGAUUAAGAGCUUGCUCUUAUGAAGUUAGCGGCGGACGGGUGAGUAACACGUGGGUAACCUGCCAUAAGACUGGGAUAACUCCGGGAAACCGGGGCUAAUACCGGAUAACAUUUUGAACCGCAUGGUUCGAAAUUGAAAGGCGGCUUCGGCUGUCACUUAUGGAUGGACCCGCGUCGCAUUAGCUAGUUGGUGAGGUAACGGCUAACCAAGGCAACGAUGCGUAGCCGACCUGAGAGGGUGAUCGGCCACACUGGGACUGCGACACGGCCCAGACUCCUACGGGAGGCAGCAGUAGGGAAUCUUCCGCAAUGGACGAAAGUCUGACGGAGCAACGCCGCGUGAGUGAUGAAGGCUUUCGGGUCGUAAAACUCUGUUGUUAGGGAAGAACAAGUGCUAGUUGAAUAAGCUGGCACCUUGACGGUACCUAACCAGAAAGCCACGGCUAACUACGUGCCAGCAGCCGCGGUAA